GUUCUGGGCUCCAUAACCAGCCAAGCGAAGUGAACGAGGCAGGCCGACCUGAGUCGCGACGCGCACUGUUUUGAGGUGAUUCGUAAACUCAGGCAGGCCAACUCGAGACGAGACGCACGGUGUACCGAAGUGAGACGCCCAUCCGGAGGAGGACUUCGCUGGGACGAGAUAGAAUAUUAAAUUAUUAUUUUGCCUUAUAUUGUUUAUAAUUUAGAAUUAAUAGAUUUGCUUUGUUUUCAA
rnacentral:lncRNA from 1 species